UACGUAGGGGCAAGCGUUGUCCGGAAUCAUUGGGCGUAAAGAGCGUGUAGGCGGCCCGGUAAGUCCGCUGUGAAAGUCCAGGCUCAACCCUGGGAUGCCGGUGGAUACUGUCGGGCUCGAGUCCGGAAGAGGAGUGUGGAAUUCCUGGUGUAGCGGUGAAAUGCGGCAGAUAUCAGGAGGAACACCGGUGGCGAAGGCGGGUCUCUGGGCAGUG
rnacentral:rRNA from 1 species